rnacentral:misc_RNA from 1 species
GAAAUUGUACUCACUGGAGAAUCCGCAAAACCAUCAACAACAGCACUUGUGCUGUUCCCAGAGCUAUGAGAUGACUGGGAACCUGAUUGAGAAGCAUAUCUCAAGGACUUGUACUCAUGCAGAUCACAGUUCAAUCCAGGAUCUACUAAGUUGCUACCACUAGAGCUGCUUGAACUGCCUGUAUAAUUAAAGUAAUUAGAGUCAAGAUUUCGAUAUGAACUUUUGGGGUUUUGAUCUAAACAAGGCACUGAGUCACAAUUGGGCGAAGGAGGAUACUUCUCUCCAAUAAGCUCAUACAAAGAUUUCUCAGCAGCUUGAAGUGCU